UGAGUGCUAAGUGUUGGGAGGUUUCCGCCUCUCAGUGCUGCAGCUAACGCAUUAAGCACUCCGCCUGGGGAGUACGACCGCAAGGUUGAAACUCAAAGGAAUUGACGGGGGCCCGCACAAGCGGUGGAGCAUGUGGUUUAAUUCGAAGCAACGCGAAGAACCUUACCAGGUCUUGACAUCCAUAGCCAGUCUAAGAGAUUAGAUGUUCCCUUCGGGGACUAUGAGACAGGUGGUGCAUGGCUGUCGUCAG
rnacentral:rRNA from 1 species